AGCGAACGCUGGCGGCAGGCCUAACACAUGCAAGUCGAACGGCAGCACCGUAAGUGCUUGCGCUUACGGGUGGCGAGUGGCGGACGGGUGAGGAAGACCUCGGAAUCUACUUGUACGUGGGGGAUAACGCAGGGAAACCUACGCUGAUACCGCAUACGCCCUACGGGAGAAAGCAGGGGAUCUUCGGACCUUGCGCGAAGGUAAGAGCCGAUGUCGGAUUCGCUAGUUGGCGGGGUAAAGGCCUACCAAGGCGACGAUCGGUAGCUGGUCUGAGAGGAUGGUCCGCCAGACUGGAACUGAGGCUCGGUCCAGACUCCUACGGGAGGCCGCAGUGGGGAAUCUUGGACGAUGGGCGAGAGGCUGAUCCAGCCCUACCGCGUGAGUGAAGAAGGCCUUCUGGUUGUAGAGCCCUUUUGUUGGGAGGGAAAUGCAGCAGGUUAAUCCGCCGCUGUUAUGACGGUACCCGAAGAAUAAGCACCGGCUAACUUCGUG
rnacentral:rRNA from 1 species